GCAGCCCCCAGCGCGUACCGACGCCUCCCCACAGCUGGAACCGUACUUUACUAGCAGUAAUCUUCCCACCCGCCUCCCUCGGCGCCUCCUCCCUCCCUCGCCCGCUCUCGCUUCGCUGUUCUCCCUCUGUCACCUCCUCUGCCGGCGAAGCGUGGCUCCUGCGACCGGCCUCCCACCCGCUCCUCCUCCGCGCGCCGAGCGCCACGCCACGCGGCCGAGCACGGCCGCCGCUCCGCUCUCGUCUACCGCUAGCGGAGCGGAGAUCCGUCCGGACUUGAACUGGGGUCUCUGCUCUGUGUUGAUAUGAACUAAAUUGGUCGGUGGUCAUAUUGAAUACAAAGCUAUUAUUGUACGUCAUAUUCUGUCAUGCUAAAUACGGUGCCCAUAGGUUCGGUUUGAGGAGCUUCACUGUCUGAGAAAUGGACGAAACACCAACUAGUUCCGGGCAGUCUGAAGCUAGUUCAAGUGAACCUAGCUGGUGGCCACCAGACUUUUUGGAGAAGAUAGAGUCUGCUUCCAUAUCAAGGAAACAGGAUGUUUUGGGUAAUCUAAGGUCCUCAUCCUGGAAGGCUUCUCAAUUACUGUGGUCGCAAGGAGCUUACUCAGGGUUAAUCCCUAAUGGUUUCUAUUCAAUCAUCCCGGAUAAAAAGCUGAAGGAGACUUUCCCAACGAUUCCAUCAUUGGAUGACCUGCAAGCUCUUGAAGCAGAUGGGCUUAAGGCUGACAUAAUUAUUGUAGACACUGUGAGGGAUAAGAAGGUUUUCAUGUUGAAGCAGCUUAGCGCUGCACUUGUGAAAGGGUUAAAUUCUAGCCCAGCAUUGGUGAUAAAGAAAAUAGCAGGUUUGGUUUUUGACUGCUUCAAGCGACAAAAUCCUGAUUCAAGUCCAGCAAGAGGUUUGACUGAAGAUACCCAUUUCUUUGGAAAUAAAGGACCACAACUUCUAGGACAGAUAAGACAAGGGUCAUGCCGACCCCGAGCUAUUCUCUUCAAAGUUCUUGCAGAUGCUGUUGGCCUUGAGAGUAAACUUGUAGUGGGUCUACCUGAUGACGGUGCUGUUGGAUUUGUGGACUCUUACAAACAUAUGUCUGUGGUAGUUUCACUGAACUCUAUGGAGCUGCUAGUUGAUCUUAUGAGAUUCCCAGGCCAGUUGAUCCCUUUUUCAGCUAAAGCUAUCUUUAUAUCUCAUAUAUCUGCUGCGGGUGAAAGCGACUCAGCUGAAAAUGAUUCAUGUGAUUCUCCCCUUGAGCCUAACAGCCCUCUUUAUGGAUUGUCUGAUAAAGUUGAAGCUGAAGGAAUUGAAUCUUCAUCAAAUCUAUCUGGGCGAUCGUUACGUAAUAUGAUGUUGAGAUCAAGAACAUUUUCAGAGGGGAAAUUAAGCACGUCAUGCAGUGAACCAAAUAUAGCAAAUGCCUUUUGGAGGCGCAGCCAAAGGAGAGGAGUUGCUGAGGAACCCCGUGGUGCUAGUUCAAGUCCUGAGCAUCCAUUAAUGAAAGCAAGGGGAAGAUCUAUACUUGGUGGUGAGAAGCAACCAUUUCAAGAAUACACAGAAAGUGGUGCUGCAUCAAGAUCAGAUGGUCUUGAUGGCACUUCAACAUCUAAUGCUCGAAGAAUAAGACGAAGAAGCAUUAGCAUCACGCCUGAGAUUGGAGAUGACAUUGUGAGGGCAGUUCGGGCUAUGAAUGAAACACUAAAGCAAAAUCGCCUCCAAAGGGAUCAUGUUGAAGGUUCAUGCUCACAUGUUACAGAGGACCAAAGCAAUGCAAAUGACUGCCCAAAUGAUGAUGACGCAUCUCGGAGAGUUGGUGCUACUGACAAUGGCUCAAGAAACCGAACAGGUUCUACUCAGAAGGCCAUGUCAUUACCUUCUUCACCACAUGAAUAUAGGGGUCAAGUUACUGAAAAAAGUGAUGAUUUUAUGAGUAAAGAGAAGAUGGCAUUGGCAUGGAACAAAGUAUUCCAGAGCUCCCCAUUUCUUAAUAAACCAUUAUUGCCCUUUGAGGAAUGGAACAUAGAUUUCUCCGAGAUAACUAUUGGCACACGGGUUGGAAUAGGAUUCUUCGGAGAGGUUUUCCGUGGUAUAUGGAAUGGAACUGAUGUUGCCAUCAAAGUGUUUCUAGAACAGGAUCUAACAACUGAAAAUAUGGAAGACUUUUGCAAUGAGAUAUUCAUCCUGAGCCGGCUACGACACCCAAAUGUUAUAUUGUUUCUUGGUGCAUGCAUUACGCCUCCACACCUGUCAAUGGUUACGGAAUAUAUGGAAAUGGGAUCACUGUACUAUCUCAUCCACAUGAGUGGUCAGAAAAAGAAGCUCAGUUGGCGUAGGAGGUUGAAAAUUAUACGUGAUAUAUGCAGUACCGCUGACAUGUAUGAAUUGGUAAAUAACAUCGUAUAUGAGGAUGGUAUGCGGGACCUGGGGUAACAUGUUUAUGACACAAUGCUUGCUGCCUUUUCGUUACCGACUUACUCAAGUCUCCAGUGACCAGUGUUCCUGAGCAGUUUGACCUUUAAAAUAUUCUGAAUCUUUCAAGAGAACUGUAUUUGAUGCAAUUCUUUGCCUGUUAGACUUUAGUCUUUUCUAGUCCUUUUUAUUAUGAAUUGAUUAUCUGAAAGAUCUUGUUUUGUUCGCUUGAAAGGGGUUUGAUGUGCAUACACCGCAUGAAGAUAGUUCACAGGGAUCUCAAAAGUGCAAACUGCCUGGUGAACAAGCAUUGGACUGUCAAGAUAUGUGACUUUGGUUUAUCUCGAGUGACGAUUGAUAGUCCAAUGACUGAUAACUCCUCUGCUGGCACCCCAGAAUGGAUGGCCCCUGAGCUUAUCCGGAAUGAACCUUUCACAGAGAAAUGUGAUAUAUUUAGCCUCGGUGUUAUUAUGUGGGAGCUGUGCACAUUGAGUCGCCCAUGGGAGGGCAUCUCUCCCGUUCAAGUGGUGUACUCGGUUGCUAAUGAAGGGUCACGGCUCAAGAUUCCUGAAGGACCUCUCGGCAGGUUAAUUGCAGAUUGCUGGGCAGAGCCUGAGAAUCGGCCGAGCUGCCAGGAGAUCCUCACCCGCCUGCUGGACUGCGAAUACGCUGUCAGCUGAAGUACUUGCUCACCCGCCACCUGAUUGAUGCAGAGGUGGGCACGUUUUUCUUGUAUAAAACCUGUAAAAAGCAGCCUUUCGACUCUGCCAACCGGCGAGGUUACAUAUAUUGAAGCCCUAUAUUUCUGCUUUAUGACGGCGAUCCGUUCUCCCCCAAAAGAUGUAAAAAACUGUUUCCCCCGGUCAUAUAAGAACAUUUCUGGCCAAGAAAUGUUCCUCGCGUCGCAGGGACCGAGCCUAGUUGCUGUUAUGCUGCUGUAUAUUACCUGUUAUGGAACCUGGAUAGUUGCACGUCCUCGGGAGCUGGGUGAACCAUAUGGUUGCCUGAUUGUCUCCAAGACUAUGUCUCAGUACUCUGAUGAAAAUCACAAACAAGUGGAAGUGGAGAGUACUUUUUUUUCGCUA